rnacentral:lncRNA from 1 species
UGAAGCCUUGCCCAAGCCAAAAAACGUCCUCGGAGAGGUCUUCUUAUCCGACUCCCCCCACUUCGGUCUGCCUCUAGUCUCGACGGCAUUCGAGCAAGGUAGGCGGAGAGGUGAGCCCCAGAACCUUCUAGUAGCUCCCUAGUGAGCUCCUCCUUCUAAGCCCAUCGUCAAUUUAGUCGCAUAUGAUCUCCUCAGUGAGUUUCGGAGUUUCCCAAAGCUGUCAUCCGCCAGAGCAAGGUCGCCGUCGACGUGAAGCCUCCCCUUCGACCUAAUCUUGCUCUCAUCGACGUGCAGGUCCUCAGUGAGUGCGUCGACGCCCUCAACCAGCCCUCUCCCUUCUUCUAUUGUUGUCGGCAAACACCGCAUGCCUCACGCGCCGGUGAAGAUUCAAACCAGACAGGGGGGACCCCCUCAUCAGUGUCAUCUAUCUCUCCGAAUCGUUUUCGGCGAAAGCACCUUUGCCAUAAGAUGCCUUCACUGCGGGUUGGUGUAUUUCUAAUUCGGGCGCUUUAAGCUUCUCAGACUAGCCCCUAUUCUAGUUCUGUUUUAUUACAGAAUAGUCCCUGGUUUUAUUUUUCUUAUAACUUUUUAUCUACAAAAGCUUUUUCAGUGAUUCCUUUGGUAAAAUAUUACUCUGUAGGUCUUGUUUCUUCUCAGAUUUAUUUAGAAAUUAUUUGGAGGCAGUAUCUAGGCAUUUUCCCUUAUGGUAAUAUAUGUUGUGUGGCGUAGAUUCCGAGGAGGGCAACGCCGACAUUUACUUCACCGAGCUUGACCCCGACUACGUGGAACCAGGCAAGCAUGUUUGGAC